rnacentral:lncRNA from 1 species
AACUAGAUUCUAACGUAAGGUUAGAUCCGGUAAAAAGGUGUACAAUAGUUUCCGGUGUAGAAACUAUUGUACGAAAAGAAUUAACUAAAUGCUAAAAGGAAAAAGGAAAAUAGAAAUUGCAAAAGAGAUAAAGUAGAACUCGUAAAAAUAAUAAAGAAACAAUGCCUAAGCUGCUGGAAAAAUAAAAUAUGCAAAAGCGAAAACGGCAAAGGAAAAAUGUGGAAAAGCUUCGGAACCCCCUUUGGUUUUUGCAAGUGGCUAUUUAUAUAUGUUUGAG